UCCACUGCAAAAGAGAAAUUAGGGUAAUAAAGAACCCUGCAAGGACUCUAGACGUUAAAAGGCCCGCUAAGCUAGGUAAGCAGGACUCUGCAGCCAACAGAGGGAGAGAAGCAGCUGCACAGCAUGACUCAGUCUGUCUGAAGGGUCUUUGGGUGCCUUCUGGAAGAAAGGGCCUUCGUGGAUGUCGACUGUGAGUCACUUGGAGGAAAGGGAGGCCCCGCUAGGAGCUGUGGAUGGAGCUGGUUCUCAGUGCUGCUUGUGAGACUCAAAGAGUUGUAGGCGUCCACAGCCACAGAAAUCUGCACAGGGCUUGUGGGGAGGGCUGGGAACAGUGACCAGUUCUGAGCCAAACCAGGUCAGGAUUUUUGCUCUGUGACUGACGACCACGUCCAAAAGCCGAGGGAUGAAUGAGACAGGAACAUCAUCAGGAUGAUAGCCAUGGAAAUUGCUAGCAGAAGGCACUGAAGCCAAGAAGGAGAGGAAAGAAGGGAGCGAGUCCCCACAGAGCACACACCAUGCGCUAUCUUCCUGUCAGCAGCUAUUCGCUGGAUGUUCAGCAGGCUGUGGCAAGUUCAGGUUUUCCAAAAUGCUCUUUUCCAUCCCUGAAGAAUACCACAGGCUUCUCUUAAUUCAGUCUCCCUAGCCAGAAAUUAUAAGUUCAGGUUACACUGAAAGAGUGGGUUUGAGGUUUCAGGGCACACAGAAGCUCACACACAACGUGCAUUUUACGAGGCUGAUGGCCCACAUGGUUGACACAGUGCCUGUGCCCACGCUGAGGUAUUUCAAUGAGAUCCAAAACCUUCAAAUGAAGCCAAAUCUUCCAGUUUUCAUUUGGUGAGGCAUGCUUUUUCUUGAUAAAGCUGUCUUGUUUUGAUAACCUUGCUGGAGGACUGAAAAAACAGGAAGUGGCUUCUGCAGGGCCACUUCUAGAUGUUAGGAACAGGCAGGAGCAAGAGGGAGCAGCAAGCACUGUAGGAGCCCUCUGGGUUUGUGGCUACAUAAAGCAUCUGUGCCAAGAGAUGAGCACCUCUCUCCAUUGCUGCUGGCAGCCCUCACUCUGACAAGAAGCUCAGGGUUAUCGUAUGACAAGAAGUGAAGAAACAAACCAUGGGGCUGGGUGUGCCAUCAGAAAUGAAAUUUUCAGCUGCAAUUAGCCUCCUUAUCUCUGUAACAGCAGCAGCAAAUGAAUCUCCCCAAGGUGGUGUACUACAGGGAAAUGUGACUGGUCAUUGCUGUCGGGUACAGAUGGCUCCCCUGGCAUGCAGCUGUCCUUAUCAGCUAUGGGAGAUGUGAAUCUUGCUGGCACCAAUCCUGAAACUAGAACAGAUACAACUGGUGAAAACCUGGCAGAUGCAGGGAAUCCAGCCCAGUGGGCUGCCUGCUACCCAGUAUACAGGGCAGACUUCCCAAAGGCAGGCUACAGCUCCUUCAGAUCAGUACCUCACAUGCAGGACUCCCAUAUAAAACAUCUAGGGCAUAAGCAUUCUGUCAGACAAAGUAUUUUGCCCUGCUGGAGUUAUCCUAGUUAAGUGAAAGGGAGGGUGGAAAGCCAGCUGAAAGCACCAGGCCACGUGCAAAUGAAAGUGAUAUCGUGAGUCUCUUUCUGGGAAAAAGAACAACAACAAAAUCCAGCACAUUUCAAAAAUAGAGGUUCCUCAGCUAAAGAUAGCCCUGGCCAGCUGCUGUCUGGGGCAAUCUCCUGCAGAUCACCAGCACCUCCUCCAGCUAGGUACGUGUGAGGCUGCAGCAUCCGCCUGCACUUCCUUUAAAAAUGAUUCUGGCUGGUGGAACACAAGGACUGGAGUCUCAGUUGUACGCCAGCAAUUCAAUGAUAAAUUGCCACAUUUUAUUACUAUUAAUCAUUUGAUAAAAUAGGGAGGUGGAAAAGUACCAGGCCUAAAGACGUACGGGAGGGUUUCCACUACAUCUUGCAGAGAAAGAUUGUACAGACCUCAUCAUCACACAGCCAGAUGUCUACAAGUCUGGCAUCUAUCAGAAAGUGCACAUCUGACCUCUGCGGAUGGAGACACAUCAAAGAUGGACACCCAGCCUGGCAGCAGCAGGAUGUACCUCCUGAAGGCACCAUCUCCUCCUCUAGCUCUUAUCAGCGCGUACAAGUGUGGGCAAAGUAACACAUUUCUAGAUGCCUAUGGCUAAGCAAGACAAACCCAACCCCGACUCCACUGAAGAACAUGGAAAACGUACGCUGAGCUAGGAAGACAUCCAAUGUGUUCCAGGCAGACUCAAGUGACUUCAUUUUCAGGAACACUGGGUCUUCAGAGCUUGUAGGAAGUAGGGAAGAAAUGUUUCUCCAAGGACACAUCCAGCUGGGACUUGGUCUCUGUCCCUGGAAUGGCUCCUGCCCACUGAAUUCGUUUCAGGGCCAGCAGUGACUAGUACCGCCCUGCCGUCUGUCUCUCCAUGCAAGUUAUGUCUCUCCUGAGAUACAGUAAGGGUGUAUUGAAGAUGUGGAGGCUAAAAUUCAGAAGUUCAGGCAGAGAAGGUCUCUGGGAACCUAACCGAAAGAUUGAAAAUAAGCAUUUUGUGAGCCAACAAACUUUUUUAUUCAGUCUCAUUCGCAUGCUCCUCAUCAACACUGUACAUGGGGGCUGAACGGAGUCAUUAAUGGAUUUGUGCAGAAUUCAUCAAAUUUAUUUUGCUUGGGAAAACACUAGAAAUGUUGUCAGUAAAGCCAAAAUGUUUCACUUUGGUCCUUUUACAAUGAAGAGUUUAACAUUUUGUUGUGAAACAAUUCUUGUUGAAAACAAAUCACUCCUGAUGUUAAACAAGGGAACUAGCUUUCAACAGUAUAGAGAAAUCUCUUCACAAACUGAAUAUCUAAUUAAAUCCAGAACACUUCGGUCUUUUUUUUUAAAUUAUUAUUUUGAAAGAUCAACAGACAAGAUUUCAAGCACUCUUUAAUCUAGAACUUUUUUCCCCCCAAAGUUUCUCUUUGACUAAUUAAAUGCCAAAUUGUUUAUUGAUGCAGUUCAAGCCAGAACUUGGAUCUCCUCCACUUGUUCACAUGUUAUCCUAAAAUCAGCAUAUACUCAUGGAAAUUUUUAUCCACUUGACCCUUUCCCCAGGUUACAUGCCCACAAGCUGGCCCUCACCACUGAAAGCAGCGCUGUCCUGCAAGGGCAGCUUGAAAACAUCCAACAGCAUCCAACAGGCUGAGCAAACCUGAAUCUUCCCAGCCCUGGGCCAAGGGCACAGCACCAGAUAUGCUUGGAUUGUAUGAACAGCUAGCCCUGGCAUCAUACCUCAUUCUGGGGGAAGUUUUGCCUUCAAAAACCUAAUCAGCGUUAAUCUUCCUAGCAUGUCAACGCAAAGCUGUCCUUUUUCCUUUCCAGGGUGGGGGGGAAUAAAGCCAUAUGAAAGCCAUUAGCAUUGUAGUCUGGCUGAGUUCAAGCCAAAGGCAUACGACACAUCGAACGUUAAUUGUUCGGGCAUUUCAGUUAUGUGGGAAUAGUUUUAAGGACAGUAAAUCAGGUCAAUUUAGUAUUGCUCUAAUAUUGCAAAAAUUGCCUGACAAAAGCUUGAUGUAGCUUAAGCUGAUGACAUGAUUGCAGACAACCAUUUAGAAGCUGUAACAGAGCUGGGAGGCUCAUUAAGCUGAGCUUGCACAUAUCUAUGGGGAAAUAUGGCUUCAUCAUGAGCCUACAGAGGAGAUCAAAUACCUUGGACUGCAUUCAGAAGUAAUGCAUGAACUUCAGAAACAACAAAAAAAGGUUAAGACUUACAUAUUGACUGACAUGCUCACCUCUGCUAUGAAUUCACGGGUGCUGCGUGAGAUACCUGCAUACUCCCCCAAAAAGCUGUCAGGUGAAAAUGGACAGACUUGAGGAAGAAGCAAGUUUUUGCCAGCUUGGUUCCUUUUAAAUUCACUGAGUUUUCCUGCUGCCUAAAUGGGAGAGUUUGUAUUACUGAUGCCUUGUCUGACACUAAUUUAAGUUGGUGCCAGGAGUUGGACCCGAUGAUCCUUACGGAUCCCUUCCAACUCGGGAUAUCCUGUGAUUCUAAGUUCUAAUUAGGUGAUGAAUGUAAACAAUGACAACUCAUCUCACAUUACAAAUGAUUCUGUUACUGACUUGCUAAAAUGCCGUUACAAAUCUAAAGAACACCAAAGGUUUAAGUACUCUGGUUUGGAGUUUCUUUUGAUGGAAAGUAAAUAUCAAAGAGGAGUUGUCCCUGGAUAGAUUUGGGAGUACCAGAAAAACAUGGAUGCGUGUCUUUAUGCAAUCCAAAAGCAUGAAGUAAUUUUUUCCGGUUCAAAGAGCAACCUCCAUAUUUAAAACUAGCUUUUUCAACAGGACAAAUUCCUCUUGGCUUUGAACAGGAGCUCCAAGCAGACAGCAAGCUCUAUUUACUCGCGUCACUUGACCUCUCGCGUCUCCUGGGUUUUAUUAACAGGAUCCUCCUUCGAUGGAUUUGCUUUGAACAGCACAUCAAAAGUGCUCUUAGAGUAGGAGCUAGAACUAUAUUUGGUUGCAGGAACUUGUAAUGGGAAACUUUUUUUUUUUUCCUAGAAAGCUCACAGAAUGCCACAAAAUACAUAAAGAACGGAGCUGGCCUAGCCCGAACAUUUGGUAGGUGAGUCUUGAAUUAAGCAAACCACUGGCAAGCCGUGUGCUAUCCUGCUGUCUUCAGACUGUUUAUUCUAAGCCUGGGUAACUGCAACAUGAUGAAAGGCUUGGGGUUAAAGCUCUGUUUCCCAUCUUGUCAACAAAAUUAAAGGUGAACCCUUUCCUAAGAUCUUUAUUUUGGUAUUUUCUAUAGUAUUGGCUUUACAUGUAGCGUCUACCAUUGACAGCAAAAGCCAAGACACCACAAAGCAUAAACACCAGCCUGAAAUGUUCUCAGACUCCUGGAUUUCCAUGGGAAUCUGGAAUUUGAACGGGGAAAGCCUGAGGCAGAUUUCCUGAAAUAAAGGGAUGGCUGUUUAAAAGGCAAUUAGAGCACUUCGAAAUCUGCAAACCCAAACAAAUCAUGCUGCAGGGCAGUCUGUCUCCAAUCACCAUAUGUAUAAAUCUGUCCCAAAGUAUUAGCAGCAUUGUGCAUCUACAGUCCCUGCCUCAAGCCAGGCUCUGCUGCACCCAAUCUCGGCUCCAGCAUACCACGAACUGCAGCCCCUACCCAUGUGUUGCAAUCAGACUGUCCAGUCCUUGCUGUUUCACCCAGUUUCAUCCAGAUGGAGCAAAAAAAAAAAGUUUUCUGGCAGUGAAGUCUGGCCGUCCUUUGGAUUAAAGGGAAGAGAGGUCAUGCAUGCAAAAGAGGUGCAAAGAUGCACUCUUCUACCUGAGCAGGACCAUCAAAGCACGAUAAUCUGUUUAAGCAUUUUAUUACUCCCACGUUUGACUUUUAAAGUCUGUAAUAAUUCUGGCAUACCGCUUGCUCUGAGCGGAUCCAAAGUGAUGCACGUAUUCAUCAUCGCUCUUGGGACAGAUUUCAGAAAAUACAAAUCCUGGAUGGGAUGGAGCUGUUGAGAAAAUUUCAUGCUGGAUCACAUUUAUUGAUCUCCUGUAAUGCAGCAGCUGAAGACACCACAAGUUUCAAGAGUGAAAGGAAAACUUCUGUUUCCUCAAGGAGAAAGCCAAACUUUAAAUGACAUGACAGAGCAGUUGCUGCUAGAAGAGCUUUAUAGGGCUUCCCACUACAAAAGGUCGGGAUCUAGAGGAGCCAUCAGCAAGACCAAAUGGGAAACACAAGUGGCACCUGCUGGGGGUCCUGGUGCUAUGGUGUGGGAGUCCAGGGAGCAGCACUCACAGCUUCACCUCUGCACAAACUUUGGAAAAUAAUCACUCUCUCCAUUCCCCAAUCCCUGAGAUGUACAAUAGGAGGAUUAACAGUAACUUGUUUGGCUAUUUUAUGCAAUUACACUAGGCACGGGUAUCUUUUCAGCUCCGUCUGCAUAGUGUGCAGCCUCAGGGUCAAUUAAAGCCCCUGGGUGCUGUUGUAAUCCAGGUACAUUUAAUAACUGCUACAGAGAUGGUGAUGCUAAAUUACUGUAGGUUCUCAAGCACCAGAUUACAUGGAUCUGGAGUUUUACAAAGGUACUCCCACACUAGUGAAAUGAAUACAUCCUUAUCUCUGCAAAAAGAGCCAAGCACAGGUGGGUUGGCAAGCGCAGUUUCUGUUCUCUGGAAAGCUACAACAUGCUUGCUUGUUCCUAGAGAGAACAAGGCAAAUUAAAUAAAAAUCACAUGUGGAAAUUCAUCAGUGAGUUGUCUAAGAAAAAAAAUCAAUACAUUGACAAAGCAGAUGUUGAUGGCCAGUUGGAAAACAGCAUUAGCGUGCACAGCUGCCUUGCAGGCGGUGGGUGAUUUGUACUAGGAGCCCCUGGCAGCAACACUCCAUGUCCUUAUGAGCACCUCAUUAAGAUAUCAGGGAUGAGGAGGUCUGUGGGACCCCACGUGCUCCACGGGGAAGCAGAACCCUGGUACUCAUCCGGAGGUGAGCCCUUCCUAACCUCUGAAACAUUCCUCAAAGGGACAGCGUGCAUAUCCCAAAAUAAGAGUCAUUCCACUGGCCUUGGGUCAGAUCUACAGAGAGCAAACAAAAUCCAAGGCAAACCCUUGAGCACUUCAUGGAAAGAUUCCCACUGGCUUCAUUAAACUUCCAUUUGGGUCAUUGGGCUGCAGCCCAAAACAUCACGUUCUCCAGAUAAGAGGUGGGCUUUUGGCGACAAGGUAACACCUCCGUGAUCCUUGGCUGCAGGCAGAAUCAGCCCUAUCCCCUAUCUGAGAGGGGAGCUGGAAGGCACCCCAGCAUGGCACACAAAGAAAGAAGUAAUGCAGAUGCUAUGUUGUUUUUUUGCCUUUGUCAUGCAAAUACAGAUCAUCUCCCUGAGUGUCUGACAGCUUGAAACAGCUGCGCAGCUUCCUAAGGCAAAAUCGCUGGAAGCCGCUUCACUGUAAUAUUUCAUAAAAUACUACACCCUGCCCUGUUUCCCUGCAUAUGUAUAUAUAUUUGUUUGCUCUACACAUUCUACACUGCACAAGAAUUUUCUAUUUCCUGGCAGUCCUGGAAAUCAUUAAAUGACCUCAGAGCACGACAGACCAGAUGCUCUUGCGCCGCUUUAUAAAAAAAGCAAAGCCUCAAAAUUCAUAACACCUGUUCUGAGUCCUAUGGCCAGCUCUGCUAGUGAGAGCCCAGCGGUCCAGAGGGACCCAGCUGCUCAGCGUCCGUACAGCACAUCCCAAGGCACGCUGUGGGCUGAUAUGCAGCCUUCUGGGACCUCCCUCUCCUGAGCAGAGACCGCCCCCAUGGUGUUUUUUUGUUUUUGGUAAGUGUGCCUGGCUAAAUUGUGCUGUGCAGCAACGCUGUUCGGAUGUACUUGUGAAGUACAGGGUUGCCUGGUGCUAACACGUGCUGUGCUUUCACACCUGACAGCAGGGACAAGUUGAAGUCAAAUCCUGCCUCCUUGAAGCUGGUGCAAUUGCUCUGAGAGGAAAUAUGAGGGGGGAGAACUGGCUGAUUCUGUUGUGCUCGUUCCCCUCAUUAAAGGGCUGUCACAGAAGCAGUCACAGCCAGGGGCAGGCAGGUGAGGUGGUGGAUGCAGGCAUAAGAAAUAAAAAAAGCUGUCUCAGGAGCUUAAAAUCCAAACAGCUAAAGGGUAAAGAACUCUCCCAUGUAACUAUAGGAUUGAGACAGAUAAGGCUUUAAAAGGCAGGCUUCAUGUCACAUGGAAAAAACCUCUGGCACAGCAAUAAUUUGGACUCCCUGUCCUGUAUGAAACUCAGUCCUUCUUGCUAUCUCUCUGCCUGACUCCCAGCACCAGAUCUGUCCUGCUAAGGGUGCCAGCAGUGCUGGGGGAACGUUUUCCUGCUGGAGGAGAAAAUAAAGGGUGGAGUGAGAUGAGACUGACCGUGAGGGAAUUCGGGAUUAUUAUUAUCAUUGUGGGGUUUCAGACUUUUUUUUGGUCCCUCUCCAUUUUCAGCUCUGCAUAUAGAGAACUAGAGCCAUCACCACUGAAAGUUUUCCCUGGCACUUGGGUUGUUGCCCUGACUCUGACCCUUCUUAGAAGCAGGGUUGGGAAGAGAGAGGAGCCAGCAGCUGCAAGCAGCCCAGCCAUGCAUCUCACUUAGCUGCUGCCUGACAGCGCACACCUGAAAGCAGGAGCUUCCACAACAGCCAGAAGCUUUACAGACCAACAGAUCUCUCAGCCUGUACCCUCCGUUCUUUAAUUCUGAAGCUCAGGAGACAAUUAAAAACAUAAUAAUAAACUCCGUGGCUUCUUAGAUAUUUUCCCCUAAGAAGGUUUGAAGUCUCAACAUUCCCACUGGGUCUCAAGCCCAGGACUUCCACAAUUUGGCUUUUAGACCUGCCCUUAAGCCCUUGGCACCAAUAAAUACAGAUACCCCAGGGUGGUUGAGCCCUCAUGGGAGGUUAAGUGCCUCUCUUCUUCUGUACAACUGAUAAAGGAACAGGCCAACAAGGCUGAUAUGAUCCUUAGAGCAGGCUGCUGGAGCAGAUGAGCUCUCCAUCCUCCACAGGAGGCAGAGACCCAUUUAAGAAGGCACCUAAAGGUGUCUGGAAAAGCCUCGCUUUUAGCACCCACGUUUGAGCAAUCCCUGUUUCUUUUAGGAUUUCAAGCUUUAAACAACCCCUUUAGCUCUCCUUCUCAUUUCUUUUCUAAGCAGUAAGUUCUAUGGAGGCAACAGAGCAUCUUUGGCCUUGUUCAUGUAACACUGGGAGUGGUGGGUGCUGGCUUUGCACAAAUAGCCUGAGAAAUCUCACAGCAGAGCCAAUAUCUGCUCCCCAGGGUACAGUCCUGCCAGAUAGUAAUGCCUGCCAGACUUGCUGGUUCUUAGCGUUGUUGUAACAUUCUACGACCUCACCACAGAGCUCUUUCACCUCAGGGAUGUCACAUGCAUUUAAUCAUCUCCCAGUAGCCACCCCCAGUUCUCCCAACAGCUGCACGCACACAAAAAUACCCACAGCCAUGAGCCAAGCAGCAAUAACAGCUCAAAGAUCCCAAAGUCUGAUUUCCUCUGUCAUUUGGGGCUCUUUCUCAAGCCUGCUGACUGCCUGGGACUCUUCCCACCGACCUAAAAGGUCAGAGAUUGGGCAAAUGCAACUAGUCAGGGACUGCACCCCCACUAGCUGCUGAAAAGCCCGUUAUGACUGGAGUUGGUGGAGCAGCACUGUUCAAGUGGCUUUGCCACUCCCUGUGAAACAGGCUCUUUCUAAGGGAAGAGGUCUCUGCUCACAUAAGCACCUGUUGCUGACACGCUCCUCGCCACCACCAAAUACAACCAAACACAGCGGCUCAGCCUGUUCACUCACCCUCUCCAUCUCCUCUUCUCCAUGGAGCAGCCUCUGUCAGCUUCCAGCAGCACCCUGAACUCCUAGGGCCACCUGCCUCUGUAAAGCCAGCUCCUUUCUCCAAGAUGAGGUUUUCCUAAAAGGAGCAGAAGAGCAAAGAGGUGAAAUUUUGUCAUCAGUUAACUCCAUCUCUCCUGCCUGCUGUCAGGGCCAAGCCUUCUUCUGUUUCCCCCAGGCUGCACAGAGCAGAUCCUGAGAUCCUGGCAGUCCCCAGAGUCUGUCCUGGGGAAUCUUCUCAUUUCAUGCCCCAGGGUUAAUUCCUGCUCUCCUCCUCCCCCCCUUCUGAACCACAAUGCACAACCUAACCCUUCUCCAUCACAGCAUUAAACUUUUGCAGGAGUUUGGGUUGAAAAGAACCUGUUUUUUUCCCCACACUAAUCCAUCCCCAGACCUUUCCCUGGUGAUACUCACCCACUCAGAAAGCAGACCAAGGACAGAUGAACAAAAAUGAUAAACCAAAGAAGCUGGAUGCAAAUGGCAGGGCCCACGGAGCACGGGGAUCUGACAUGACAGGAGCCACAGGAAGGUCAGCUCUUAGUUAAUAUCACUCUUGGCAGUGACAUUAAAAGACCAUCCUCAGGAGAGGUGAUUUCAGCUCCUGGCUCUGACAUGGGCCUCCUGCCUGACUUGGACACCUCAGUCUUUCACCCUUUCUCUAAUGGUAGCAAUAUUCUUUCCGCUCCAUUUUAUCUAUAUAUAUCAAUUUUUUUUGGAGGAAGGGUAGGAUCAGGCAUGUGCUUUCUGGGCUUUGCUGUGAUUUCCCAGAUCUGUUGGGUUUGAUCCCAAUGUUUGCCUUGCUGGCAAACUGCAAAUGCCCCUUCAGCCCAAAGAGGAUCCUGGCUCUGCUUAGGUUUUUUAAAGCCAAUUAGUUAUUACAGACAUGUCUCAGCUAUUACCACAUCAUUAAUCAACAUAUCACAAAUACAGCAGCUUUAUUUAUUUAGCUAUUUCAGGCCCCUCUCCAAGUAACUAUUCUAAUUGUUGACGACUACUUUGCCUGUAUUCUUGUGAUGUGCUUUCUUACUGUGUGCUUUUGGACGGAUUUCUCACCAAAUGAAAAAAUAUUGUUUUGUCAGGAAAAAUAAAUACAUUUUUAUUAUGAA